GGGGAUGCGGGGAACGCGGCAGCGGUAAGCGGUGGCGGGCAAGCGUGUGCCGGAUUUAUGGGGGUGAAAGGGGGCGCAGAGGGUGAUGCAAUUCUGGAGUGAAACCCCACAGCUAAACUGUGGGCUUGCUUUGGAAACUGUGUAACUAGAGUACUGGAGAGGUAAGCGGAAUUCCUAGUGUAGCGGUGAAAUGCGUAGAUAUUAGGAGGAACACCGGUGGCGAAGGCGGCUUACUGGACAGCAACUGACGUUGAGGCUCGAAGGCGUGGGGAGCAAACAGGAUUAGAUACCCGUGUAGUC
rnacentral:rRNA from 1 species